GAAAGGCUAAAACCAGCUGGUGUUGGCUUGCUAUUAACGAAGGACUUUUGCCUGUGAAUUUGCCUGCAAAUGACUUUUUCAGGGUUAAGCAAAGCAUCUGCAGGACCAAAACAAGACUUAAAGCAACAAUCUACCUAAGAAGGCUCCUGUACACAUGAGAAUACACCAAUUGAGGUAAUGGAUGAGGUCCUGUGAUCCUGCCUCACUAUAAAUAUAAAACUACAUGACAUCUAGCACCCUGGAAGGA
rnacentral:lncRNA from 1 species